rnacentral:rRNA from 1 species
GAGUUUGAUCAUGGCUCAGAUUGAACGCUGGCGGCAUGCCUUACACAUGCAAGUCGAACGGCAGCACGGGAGCUUGCUCCUGGUGGCGAGUGGCGAACGGGUGAGUAAUGCAUCGGAACGUAUCCUGGAGUGGGGGAUAACGUAGCGAAAGUUACGCUAAUACCGCAUAUUCUGUGAGCAGGAAAGCGGGGGACCUUCGGGCCUCGCGCUCUUGGAGCGGCCGAUGUCGGAUUAGCUAGUUGGUGAGGUAAAGGCUCACCAAGGCGACGAUCCGUAGCAGGUCUGAGAGGAUGAUCUGCCACACUGGAACUGAGACACGGUCCAGACUCCUACGGGAGGCAGCAGUGGGGAAUUUUGGACAAUGGGGGCAACCCUGAUCCAGCCAUGCCGCGUGAGUGAAGAAGGCCUCGGUG